rnacentral:rRNA from 1 species
UUGGAGGGCAAGUCUGGUGCCAGCAGCCGCGGUAAUUCCAGCUCCAAUAGCGUAUAUUAAAGUUGUUGCAGUUAAAAAGCUCGUAGUUGAACUUCGGGGUUUACCCAUUGGUCAGGCUUAAUUGUCUGUACUGGUGAGAURAAUCUCUACCUUCUGAGGAACUUUCAUGCCAUUUAUUUGGUGUGRGAGGAAAUCAGGACUGUUACUUUGAAAAAAUUAGAGUGUUUAAAGCAGGCUAACGUCUGAAUACAUUAGCAUGGAAUAAUGAAAUAGGACGGAYUGAUUCUAUUUCGUUGGUUUCUAGGAUCACCGUAAUGAUUAAUAGGGAUAGUUGGGGGCAUUAGUAUUCAAUUGUCAGAGGUGAAAUUCUUGGAUUUAUUGAAGACUAACUACUGCGAAAGCAUUUGCCAAGGAUGUUUUCAUUAAUCAAGAACGAAAGUUAGGGGAUCGAAGACGAUCAGAUACCGUCGUAGUCUUAACCAUAAACUAUGCCGACUAGGGAUCGGACGAAGUUAAUUUUAUAAUGACGCGUUCGGCACCUUACGGGAAACCAAAGUGUUUGGGUUCA